UCUCCUGGAAUGGAGCGUCAUAGAGGGUGAGAAUCCCGUCUUUGACACGGACUACCGAGGCUUUGUGGUGCGCUCUCAAAGAGUCGAGUUGUUUGGGAAUGCAGCUCAAAAUGGGUGGUAAAUUCCAUCUAAAGCUAAAUAUUGGCGAGAGACCGAUAGCGAACAAGUACCGUGAGGGAAAGAUGAAAAGAACUUUGGAAAGAGAGUUAAACAGUACGUGAAAUUGCUGAAAGGGAAACGCUUGAAGUCAGUCGCGUUGACCGGAAAUCANCCUUGCUUUUGUGGGGUGUACUUUCUGGUUGACGGGCCAGCAUCAGUUUUGACCGGUGGAAAAAGUCUGGAGGAAUGUGGCAUCUUCGGAUGUGUUAUAGCCUCUAGUUGUAUACAUCGGUUGGGACUGAGGAACUCAGCACUUGUGCUUAGGAUGCUGGCAUAAUGGCUUUAAUCGACCCGUCUUGGAAACACGGGAC
rnacentral:rRNA from 1 species